GCCAGUUUGGCCGAGUGGUUAAGGCGGGGGACUUAAGAUCCUCUGAUCGCAAGAUCGCGUGGGUUCGAACCCCACAGCUGGCA
rfam:Giardia lamblia ATCC 50803 SC_573 genomic scaffold, whole genome shotgun sequence.